ensembl:lncRNA
UUUUUUUUUUUUUUUUGUUUUUUUUUUUUGGUCUUUUUGCUAUUUCUUGGGCCGCUGCCGCGGCAUAUGGAGGUUCCCAGGCCAGGAGUCGAAUCGGAGCUGUCGCGACUAGCCUAUGCCAGAGCCACAGCAACGCGGGAUCCGAGCCACGUCUGCAACCUACACCACAGCUCAUGGCAACGCCGGAUCGUUAACCCACUGAGCAAGGGCAGGGACCGAACCCACAACCUCAUGGUUCCUAGUCGGAUUCGUUAACCACUGUGCCACGACGGGAACUCCCAAGCUUCCAUACUUUAGAAUGGUCGUCCACAGCCCCCCAGCCAACACCCCCCCCCCUUUCCCUGCCUGGCUGAGUCCUGGGCCUCCUUCCCAGGAAAUAAUCUUGGUGAGAUCGUGCCAAAACAUUUCUUAAACACCUAUCUUCUUUGUCUAACGAGUUAUAGAUGAGGUAAGCAACCUUUGCUCCCAGCUCCCGGGCCUUCCCACACUUCCAGGAGCCCCAUGUCACCUCAUGUUAAGCUGGGUUUGCUUCUUUGUGCUACGCCCACUGAGACUUUCUUUGGAGCCUGUACUGAAAUCCUAGAUUCAUCAGCAUGGAGGAGAAAGUGUGGCCACUCCCCCUAACCUUUCUCCCUAAGUACACGUGGUGCUGACCAGGUGAUCAAAAGAACACUUCGAACUAGCCCCUGGGGGCCCAGAGCCAGGCUGGAGGAGCAGCUGGGGCUGCACUUAUUCUGGAAGGUUCUACGGGCGCCACCAUCUCCUCCUGAGUUUCCAAGGCUGCUCUGAAAUGCAGUUUUGUCUUCUUUGGCCCCAAAUCCAGAGAAGAGUCAGGGGGUCCCAGAGGGGACUGACACCACCUGGCGUUCCCUUCUGCCACGUCUGAGGGCAGGGUGCCCUCCGCCACGUAGGCCCUGUGCCCACUGUCGAGAAGACAAGUGGGACAGUGAGCUCAGACGGCCUGAUGAUGAGAACUGGUAGUUACGGAUCCAUCAAGGUCAAGGGAGAAAGGGCUGAUGGGAAACCAAACAAAGCACUGGACAGCCACAAGACUGAGGCUGAAACUAUCAGAACACCAGACACAAAUCGCCGUAGUUGCCAUGCAACACACCCCAUGUCCACAGUGAGAUCUGUCCUGCCAGGGUGCAGGGGGAUUGUGUUACAGUCUUGAUAAGUCCAUGCACUGGUUCUCCAACUGCUUUUCCUAAAGUCCAAAGACCUUUAAUUUAACUGGCCCUGAAGUCCUUUUAAAAAUGUCCCAGAAACCUCCUCUUGCCCUCUUCCUUGUCCUUUGCCCAAAAGCUGCCCCUUCCUCAGGGGGGAUAAGGACCCCCGGGAUGGAUAAGGCUGUGGGUCUGGAGUCAGGCAGCCCAGAAUCUAGCCGGGGCUCCACCAUCUCCUUGGCCCAUGACCCUGAGCCAGUUAGCAAACCUUGCCUCAGUUUCCUGAUGUGUCAAACAGGAAUAAGAGAAAUGCCCAUCUCACAUGAAGACUAAGCAAGUGAAUACCUGUAAAACACUUGAACAGUAGCGAGUACAUGGUACGUACUCACUACUGCCUGCUGUCAUCAUGAAAAUUAUUCUAGUUCUACCGCAAUGAACUCCUUCUCCCGAACUCCUUUAGCAGACAUUUGUACUUGGCAUUGAUUACAUACUACUUUUUUGUUUUGUCCUUUUUUUUUUUUUUUUAGGGCCGCACCCAAGGCAUAUGAAGAUUCGGAAUUUACAACUAAAAAUAAAAAACUCCAUCAUGGAGUUGCUGCUGUGGCACCGUGGGUUAAGAAUCCAACUGUAGUGGCUCCGGUUACUUUGGAGAUGUGAGUUCCAUCCCCAGGCCAGCGCAGUGGGUUAAGGGAUCCGGCACUGCCACGGUUGCAGCAGCUCAUAUUUGAACCCUGGCCAGGGAGCUUCCAUGUGCCUCCAGUGAGGCUGUAAAAUAAAAAUAGAUAAAAUAAAAAACUCCAUGGUGUUUUCUGCUUAAGCCAACUGGUAACAACCUGCCUACCUCUGACAACACUGGAGAUGCGCUCAGUCAACAGUCCUGCUGAGCCUGAUGGACAGGAAGGGGUGGGGUCGGUGCAACAUCAGACCCUGAACCACGCGAAGUAUUAAUCAAAGACCCUGAUGUUUUCCACACCUCCCAUCAGUCACCAAACACAUAAAGGGCACCAACUCAAGGCCCAACACUGUGGUCACAGACACAAAAAUGAGGGCGGGCCCUGGUUCCACAGGCUUCCUGUCAUGUGAUGGACAUAAACAGGCAAUUAUUAGACCAGGUGAUGGAAGUUUCAAAAUGGGUACAUGAAGUACCUGGGAGGGACAUCGCAUCCAGACUCAGAGGGUGGGGGUGGCCAGGAAAAUCAGAUCAGAGGAUGCACAGUCAGUCGGGAGAAGAAGUUUGGAAGGAGUGUUUCCGGAAAAGGAAUGGCAUGUGCAAAGGCCAGGAGAGGGGUGGGUGGUACCUGCAGAGACCUCUGAGGAACCGGCGUGGGUAAAGCAAGUCUCUGGAAAAGAGGCCGGGGCCGGGCCAGGAGGCAGGCAGAGCCCCAUCGUGGUGGGUGGGGGUGGGGGUGGGAGUGGGAGCCUUCUCAGGGUCAGCUGGGCAUUCACCCAAGGGCGUCAGGAGGGACUGAGUUGAGGAAAGCAGGACCAUGGGGGAUCGGGGGGGCAGGGAGAGGCAGGCAGGGCAGUGCUCCCUGCAUUGCCAAGCUGAGAGCAGACCAAGAAAAAGACAGAAAGCUUGUGUGCCCCGUCACUUCACUGGGCAGCUCCGUCACUAACACGGGACAGGAGUGACGUGAACAAUCACAAGGUGCCCACAGACUGUGUGGCCAGAAACACAGGGCAAGGAAUGAGGUGGGAACCUUCGACUUGCCUUCAAUGGCUUCUUCUUUACAGUAGAGCCGCAGUUAACAAUUUCUAAGUAUCUGUAGCUCCCCCUUAACUACUUUUUUCUCGAGGGGAGGGGGGAGGGGGAGGAGGAGCCCAUGUCUGAACGUAAAACAUUUGCUCUGAAUGUACCAUAGGCACUCACUUUAGAGGACUGAACUGUAUUGAUGCCCCAGCUCGGGGACACGUGAUAGUUUUCAAAUAUAUAUAUGAUUCUGACUAAAGGACUUCCAAUGUUUUUUUGUUUGUUUGUUUGAUCGCUCGCAUUAUUUUUGCCCUUUGUAGCAGAAGUACACCGACAUGGUGGUCUAUCUCCACCAGGUCCUUUCUGCACGCUUCCUGGGUAAUUCGAGAUCAAGGUAAAAACACGCAGGAUCGGGAGGGGAAGGAGUGGGAGGGACUGGGAAUGUGGGGUUAGUAGAGGCAAACACUUGCAUCUGGAGUGGACAAGCAAUGAGGUCCUGCUGUACAGCACAGGGAACAUGCGAUGGAACGUGAUGGAACAUGAUGGAAGAUAAUGUGAGAAAAAGAAUGUAUAUAUGUAUAACUGGAUCACCUUGCCGUACAGCAGAAAUUGACAAAACACUGUAAAUCAACUAUAAUAAAACACACACACACACAGAGCAAAUAAACAAACAAACACACUCAGGAGCUAUAGGUGCUUUGGGGUAACAGGAGCCCUGAAGAAAGCAUUCCUGAGUUCUUGUUCCUUGUGAUCAUAAACUUCCACAGGUUGGAGGCGGCUACUUGCUAGGUCUGUAACUAUAAAUACGUGCACACAGAGAGGCGAGGCCCGCCCCAGGAACUGGAGGAGGCCCGGCGGAACCUAAACAGCCCAGAAUGCAUUCAAUGACUUCAGUAAGUGGCGAUCGAGGGGCUGCAGCUUCUCUCCAACAUUAGGAGGGCUGUGGCUCUUGUGGGAUCAUCAGGCUCUCUGUCACCCUCAGUGAGGCAAGGGCACUGCCACAAGCCUCUGAGGCCCAGGGCCCCAUUCCUGGCCCCCCGGAGGUCACGGGAGCACUGAGAGGGCAGUGGCCCGAGCCGCAACCCGGCCC